AGCGAACGCUGGCGGCAGGCUUAACACAUGCAAGUCGAGCGGGCGUAGCAAUACGUCAGCGGCAGACGGGUGAGUAACGCGUGGGAACGUACCUUUUGGUUCGGAACAACACAGGGAAACUUGUGCUAAUACCGGAUAAGCCCUUACGGGGAAAGAUUUAUCGCCGAAAGAUCGGCCCGCGUCUGAUUAGCUAGUUGGUGUGGUAACGGCGCACCAAGGCGACGAUCAGUAGCUGGCUGAGAGGAUGAUCAGCCACAUUGGGACUGAGACACGGCCCAAACUCCUACGGGAGGCAGCAGUGGGGAAUAUUGGACAAUGGGCGCAAGCCUGAUCCAGCCAUGCCGCGUGAGUGAUGAAGGCCCUAGGGUUGUAAAG
rnacentral:rRNA from 1 species